rnacentral:rRNA from 1 species
UACAGAGGUGGCAAGCGUUGUUCGGAAUUACUGGGCGUAAAGGGCGCGUAGGCGGCCUUCUAAGUCAGACGUGAAAUCCCCCGGCUUAACCUGGGAACUGCGUCUGAUACUGGGAGGCUUGAGUAUGGGAGAGGGAUGUAGAAUUCCAGGUGUAGCGGUGAAAUGCGUAGAUAUCUGGAGGAAUACCGGUGGCGACAGCGGCAUGCUGGGUCCCUUCUGACGCUGAGGCGCGAAAGCCAGGGGAGCAAACGGG